AAUAGAUACCCUGGUAGUCCACGCUGUAAACGAUGAUUACUGGUUGUUAGCGAUAUAUAGCUAGUGACUGAGCGAAAGCAUUAAGUAAUCCACCUGGGGAGUACGUCGGCAACGAUGAAACUCAAAGGAAUUGACGGGGGCCCGCACAAGCGGAGGAACAUGUGGUUUAAUUCGAUGAUACGCGAGGAACCUUACCUGGGUUUAAAUGGGGAGUGACAGGUGUCGAAAGAUGCUUUUCCUUCGGGACACUCUUCAAGGUGCUGCAUGGUUGUCGUCAGCUCGUGCCGUGAGGUGUCGGGUUAAGUCCCAUAACGAGCGCAACCCUUGCCGAUAGUUGCCAUCACGUAAAGGUGGGCACUCUAUCGGGACUGCCGGUGUAAACCGUGAGGAAGGUGGGGAUGACGUCAAAUCAGCACGGCCCUUACAUCCAGGGCUACACACGUGUUACAAUGGCCAGUACAGAGGGCCGCUACCCCGCGAGGGGAUGCCAAUCUCGAAAGCUGGUCUCAGUUCGGAUUGAAGUCUGGAACCCGACUUC
rnacentral:rRNA from 1 species